UACGUAGGGUGCAAGCGUUGUCCGGAAUCAUUGGGCGUAAAGCGCGCGUAGGUGGCUUUGUAAGUCCGUUGUGAAAGUCAGAGGCUCAACCUUUGAAUGCCGAUGGAUACUGCAGAGCUAGAGUACGGAAGAGGCGAGUGGAAUUCCUGGUGUAGCGGUGGAAUGCGCAGAUAUCAGGAGGAACACCAAUAGCGAAGGCAGCUCGCUGGGACGUUACUGACACUAAGGCGCGAAAGCGUGGGGAGCAAACAGG
rnacentral:rRNA from 1 species